rnacentral:sRNA from 1 species
GAAGAACACAAUGGAUCUGGUGCUAAAAAGAUGCCUUCCUCAUUUGGCUGUGAUAGGUGCUUUGCUGGCUGUGGGGGCUACAAAAGUACCCAGAAACCAGGACUGGCUUGGUGUCUCAAGGCAACUCAGAACCAAAGCCUGGAACAGGCAGCUGUAUCCAGAGUGGACAGAAGCCCAGAGACUUGACUGCUGGAGAGGUGGUCAAGUGUCCCUCAAGGUCAGUAAUGAUGGGCCUACACUGAUUGGUGCAAAUGCCUCCUUCUCUAUUGCCUUGAACUUCCCUGGAAGCCAAAAGGUAUUGCCAGAUGGGCAGGUUAUCUGGGUCAACAAUACCAUCAUCAAUGGUGAGUACUUCUCUAUUCUAGGUCCUUAUUCCUAGGGCUCAGGUUCCCUGGUAUGCCCAGUGAGCUCAGGGAAUGCCCCUUCCUUCUCUACUUUUUUUUUUUUUUUUUUUUUUUUCAUUUUUGAGAC